GGAUUACUCUGAUGAUGCUGUUUAUCAAUGGAUCAAUCAGUUUACCACAGUAUUGAUUAAUAAUGUGUUAUGGUUUCUUUUUCUUGUAGGUUUUGGUUUGAUGACUGCAGAAAUAUUUUCUUUCAGAACGUCUUCUGUCUGGUUUCAUUUAAUGUUAGAGUAAUCAAUUUAAGAUUCAGACAAAUUUAACAACAUAUCUGUAAAAAUGUGAUAAAUUAUAAACUAUUGUGACACAAUUUCAUAAAUAUAAUAUAAUAUAAUUUAUUUUAUGAAAAACAGGAACUGUUCAUGUUGAGUUUGUUGUGUUCAAAGUCAGAGAGCCGUGUCUCUCUACAGUGAGAGGUUUUUGUACAACGACUCCAUCAGUUUGUAUCACUGUGGUGGACUUUCGGUGGAGGAACCAGACUGGAUGUUAACUUGGGUCGAGUCGUCCCCACCCUGACGGUGCUGCCCCCCUCCAGAGAAGAGCUGCAGCAGGGGAAGGCCACGCUCAUGUGCCUGGCCAACAAGGGCUUCCCCUCAGACUGGAGUCUGGCCUGGAAGGUGGACUGCAGCAGCAGCAGCAGCAGCAGCUGGGAGGAGAGCAAGAGCCCCGGGGUGCUGGAGAAGGACGGCCACUACAGCUGGAGCAGCACCCUGAGGCUCCCUGCAGACCAGUGGAGCAAGGUGGGCUCUGUGACCUGUGAGGCCACCCAGGGCUCCCAGACUCCGCUCUCAGAGACAGUGAGGAGAGACCAGUGUUCCCAGUCCUGACCUGACUCACUGGAACUCUGCUACUGGUUUCACUCUGCUACUGCUCUCACUGCACUCUGUAACCAUCUCUGUCUUUUAUUGGACAUGUUUCAAUAACAAUAUUUACCAGCUUGUUGCAGCGGUUCAAUAUUAUUUCACUGAUCCAGAUAAUAAAGACGUGUUCAUCAAA